UGAGCAACCUACCCAGGUGUGGGGGAUAGCCGUCCCAACGGACGGGUAAUACCGCAUACGCUCAACACGAGGCAUUUCGAGUUGAGGAAACCUUCGGGGCACCAUGAGGGCUCGCGGCCUAUCAGCUAGUUGGCGAGGUAACGGCUCACCAAGGCAACGACGGGUAGCUGGUCUGAGAGGAUGACCAGCCACAUUGGGACUGAGAAACGGCCAGGCUCCGUACGGGAGGCAG
rnacentral:rRNA from 1 species